AGCGAACGCUGGCGGCAGGCCUAACACAUGCAAGUCGAACGAACUCUUCGGAGUUAGUGGCGGACGGGUGAGUAACACGUGGGAACGUGCCUUUAGGUUCGGAAUAAUUCAGGGAAACUUGUGCUAAUACCGAAUGUGCCCUUCGGGGGAAAGAUUUAUCGCCUUUAGAGCGGCCCGCGUCUGAUUAGCUAGUUGGUAAGGUAACGGCUCACCAAGGCGACGAUCAGUAGCUGGUCUGAGAGGAUGGCCAGCCACACUGGGACUGAGACACGGCCCAGACUCCUACGGGAGGCAGCAGUGGGGAAUCUUGCGCAAUGGGCGAAAGCCUGACGCAGCCAUGCCGCGUGAAUGAUGAAGGUCUUAGGAUUGUAAAAUUCUUUCACCGGGGACGAUAAUGACGGUACCCGGAGAAGAAGCCCCGGCUAACUUCGUGCCAGCCGCCGCUGUAA
rnacentral:rRNA from 1 species